rnacentral:lncRNA from 1 species
CCAACUCCGGCGAGAAAUUGCCGGAGCUGCGCUGCCCCGUUCGCCGAGCCGCCACCGCCUUCGUGAUCCCCGCGACGCCGUGAACCUCCCCCAAGCCUUCUUCUUCGUCCCCUAGCUUCGAUUCGUCGAUUCCGUUCAUCUCCAGUGAGAUUUGGGGUAUGGUUUGGUUCAUCUCCAUUCUCUUCGAGUAGCCCGGUUCUUGCGUUGAUUGUUAGCAAACCUCUGAUCAUUAUGUGCUCUAGAUUUCACCAUACUGUAGAGUGUAUGUUCCUCUAUAAUUUCUCUGUAGACAGUAGCCGUAGAUGGUUCAUCUCGUGCUUUGCAUCGUCGUCGCAAAACGGUAUUCUAAGCAGCCUCUCUGCCGUAUCUCUGCCGCGGCAGAAGGUUGCAGCACCAUUCUUAGUGGGUAGCCUUAUUCGCAGUAGUUCUUCUUGUUGUCCGUAGCAUCAUUUUAGUUGUUUAUUUCUGCAGAUUGAACUUUAGGAACACCCAUUCACAGCCAUUUCCUAGUUGGACCAUUUCAACUUCACCUUCACUAGCAGCACGACGGUAGAAGUUCAUAUCCUGUACUGUCCUGUUUUAGAGUAGCCACAUUCAUCUGUUCAUAGCUACUGCCUCAUAUCUCCAUAGUUAGUGAAACCAGUGCCAUUUGGAAGAGUAGAUCAUAUUCUUGGAUUCCUUUGUUUAGUUCUCUGUCAUUGGAAUAGUUUAGCAUGAGUAGCUUUUCAGUAGAAGUUAGUAUUAUUUGUCUGUCAGAAUCUGACUAGCCACCUUUGCAAGCCAGUAACUUUUGACCUGUUUAUCCAAUUGACCUGAAACCUGUUGCAUUAGUUAGCACAACCUUAGAACUAUACCGUCGCGUACAUUUCGUGCCAUGUUCUGUAAUUUAGCACCUUUUGCCUGUCAACCCUAGUUGCAAUCUGUUAACAGAAGGAGAUUACUGAAUCUUCAGACUUAGCCACACUAGCCUUAACCUUAGGCUUUAGAACUUGAAUUGUUAAUACUAUGGUAUUACUUAGAUGACGUUUAGGUUCUGUUUUUGUAUGCUUGUGAUACAUCUUUUAUCCGAAGUUCAUUUGGAGUUAUAUUUGGAUUUUGAGAGAUGUUUGGAACUAUGCAUUUAUUGUUGUUUCGUUCUUUGCGUUAGAUUAUUCGGAUUGCGAUUGCGACGAGUGCCAGGGAGUUGACGACCGCAACAACUUUUCUGAACCAGGCAAGUUACACUUAUUGACCAUGUAGUACCUAUAUUUUUGCUUAUGCUAUUUUGUUUACAACAUCAUAGGGAUGCAUGUUAGAGUUAUUUCUGUAUGAAGUAUUUAUCAAAUGCGUUUUCAACAUGUUUAGUUAUUCCUAGUAGAUUGCUUAUAGGAUUUUAUUGCCAUGCCACCAAAUACCAUAGGUUAUGUAUUUACGAUUUUCCAAAGCAUGCUAUACUAUUAUAACGGGACGGGACCCAAACUCUAUUGAAAGUAUUAAGUGCUCUUUAUGAGCGAGUAUGUUUUUGGAAAAAUGUUUUCGAAAUAAAACCAAAAUGUUUUAUCUGGAUGGAGUGGUAUGAUGGAGGCCAGUUGGCUGUCGGCAAGUGUUGUAGCCCCGUAACGGGUACACACUCAGGAGAAGGUGGGGACCGCUGUCCAGAAAUCCAAGAGUUCAAACCUUCUCAUGUACAAGGCUUCUUGUGCAACCACUUGCUAUUAUGGGCUCUGGCUUGGUCGACUAACUAGCGGGAAACCCUUACCUGGGUAUCGCCAUCCGGAGAGGAGCCAAUGUGCUCAUAUGGGGCGGGCGGUGCCAGAAUUAGGUAUUAGGGGGCUUCUAGUGAAAGACUUUGUCACAAUCUUUACCUGUUGCGCACGCUUGUCGUCAGGCAACACUAUGGACUGAUUGUGUCAAGUGGGUAAAGUGUACAAACCUCUCGAGAGUGUCAAUCUAAUCGAUUAGCCAUGCCCCUGGUUACGGGCGACUUUGAGUCAUUAAGUCUGGAGAAGUGGAGAUGUUCAAGUUUUGUUUCUAAAAAACCCCAAAACUGUUUUGACUCGAUGGAAGGUUCCACGGAAUGAGUCAGGGAAAAGGGAUGCUAUGUGUCAGUUGACCCAGAGUGCAUAGCUAGCUCGUGGAGUGAACAUCCACAGAAUGACCAUACUAUUGAUCAAACCCUGUUUUAUCAAAACUCCAAGAUAGAGAUUUUCAAAGGAAAGUACUAUGAAUAUUUCGAAACCCCAAAAGCAGCAUUUUGCAAAAACAACCCUAGUAGCCAAACUAGGAAAUCCUUCAUCAUUUCAAUGCAUUUCUCCUAACCAGUCAAGUGUGACUUGUAAGUACAUUCAAUGUACUGACCUGCACCUAUCAUGUGCAGAGAGUGACGCAUAAGAAGAAGACGCAGGGUCGCGAGUCUACACUGAACUUGCCUG